rnacentral:rRNA from 1 species
GUGGGGAAUUUUGGACAAUGGGCGAAAGCCUGAUCCAGCAAUGCCGCGUGCAGGAAGAAGGCCUUCGGGUUGUAAACUGCUUUUGUACGGAACGAAACGGUCUGCCCUAAUACGGUGGGCUAAUGACGGUACCGUAAGAAUAAGCACCGGCUAACUACGUGCCAGCAGCCGCGGUAAUACGUAGGGUGCGAGCGUUAAUCGGAAUUACUGGGCGUAAAGCGUGCGCAGGCGGUUAUGUAAGACAGUUGUGAAAUCCCCGGGCUCAACCUGGGAAUUGCAUCUGUGACUGCAUAGCUAGAGUACGGUAGAGGGGGAUGGAAUUCCGCGUGUAGCAGUGAAAUGCGUAGAUAUGCGGAGGAACACCGAUGGCGAAGGCAAUCCCCUGGACCUGUACUGACGCUCAUGCACGAAAGCGUGGGGAGCAAACAGGAUUAGAAACCCCUGUAGUCC